GCUCAUAUGGUGCAGCGGUAGUACGCUUUGAUUACAGUCGUGGGCUAGGUGCGUAAUCAAAGAGGGGCGGUUCGAUUCCGUCGGUGGGCA